AAUGUUCUGUAACGGACAAAUGAUUUCGAAUGCAGACAAGGAGAACUGAGGCAAAACUAACAGGCAGCAGCGACUGCCCGCUCAUAGCUGCCAGAGAUACUAUCCUGCAGGUUUUUUUCAGAGGUAAGAACAGGAAAGACGAGAGAACACGAGAAAACCAGCAAUUAAACGGCAAGCAAAGGAAUAACCACCAGUAAGUAAGGAAAACCAGCAGAAGGAAAGAGUGGUCAGAAGCUGGUGGAGGACAAGGUCCUGGGGCAGUUUCUAGGCUAAGCAGAGUCGUGUGAAACGCUGGGCAGGAGACACGGGCGGGAAGGCAUCCACGGCUCAUUCAACCUGGCACUUCGGCAUAUUCUUGUUCCUGGAAACAUUCGCAGCCCCAUAGAGGAAACAGAAUUGCCAUACAGUAUGACGAAUGCUAAGAAUAACACAAGGGCAUCGAAACCAACUCUAGAGUGAUAUGGGUAGUGGAGCAAUGAGUGAUCCAACCAAGAUUUAUGUAGAAGGAUGCUAAUUGCAACAAUAAGUGUUACAUUUAAAAGAGAAAAACUGGAAACAACUCUAGGAUCCAACAAUGGAGAAAAUGGUUAAAUAAUGCAUUAUUCCAGUUGGAGAUAUAA
rnacentral:lncRNA from 10 species